UCGGGGUUUCGUACGUAGCAGAGCAGCUC
rnacentral:piRNA from 8 species